rnacentral:sRNA from 1 species
CCGCAAUCCCUAUCCUCAAGCACCUCUCCAUACAGAGAGCAGCUUCCACCUCCUCUCUUCUCGUUCUCUAUUUAUAAUUAGUCCCUUUUGUCUAAUCCCUAUUUACUUCUUUAAUAAGCCUUUCUCUCAUUUAAUCCCGUAGCAAGCUACGUAAAUCAUGAACUAACAAUGCAUUCGUAUCCCGAUUCACUUCAUCGCUACAUGUUGUUUAACAACAACAGGUAAAACGACAAUGGCCUCCUCCCGCCACCACCACACUCGCCCUCCGCACCAAUCCCGCAUCCCUUCCACAUCUGCAUCCAGCACAACCGCCGCCGCCGCCGCAGCAACAACAUCACGCCGCUCCGCCUCGACCUCUUCCGCCCCUCCAGCUUCAACCGUAGAUCCCGCCGCUCCUAUACGCUCAAACACUCACGCCGCCGGCAGCAACAGCACCACCAACACCGUGCCUACAGCUAUGCCCUCCAUCCGCCGCAACCUCUUCCACCACCAUCACCACCUAAGCCGUCGCCCCGCCUCCUCUACCUCCACCGCGACGCAUAGCUCCGCAUCGACGGUGCAUCCCUCUAGCAUCAAUGCCAACGCCAGUACCGCUACCGCCACCACUGCCAGUGCCAGUGCCAGUGUAAACACCAACACCUCGCGCCCCGCUGCAGCCAGCGCCGGAGCUGCUGCGAACAUCCUCAACCCUGUCCCUGCGAUCUCUCUCAGUGUCCCGCACGCCCACGGGCAAGCGCAUACAUACGGACUUGGGAAUGCCCACGCACAACAGCAAAUAGCCCGCUCAUCCUCGUCCUCAUCUUUGGAUAAUGGAGAGAUCGUCGCACGUGAUAAAAAUGGGGGUUACAAGGUUGAUGUGCCGGUGUUGCCGGUGGGAAUGUGGGAU